rnacentral:rRNA from 1 species
UCUGGUGACUAUAGCGAAGGGGAAACACCCGUUCCCAUCCCGAACACGGAAGUUAAGCCCUUCAGCGCCGAAAAUACUUGGGGAAGAUAACCCCCGGGAAGAUAGGUCGUCGCCAGAG